rnacentral:rRNA from 1 species
AGCAGUCGCCACGGUAAUACGAAGGGUGCAAGCGUUAAUCGGAAUUACUGGGCGUAAAGCGUGCGUAGGCGGUUUGUUAAGUCUGUUGUGAAAUCCCCGGGCUCAACCUGGGAAUGGCAAUGGAUACUGGCAAGCUAGAGUGUGUCAGAGGAUGGUGGAAUUCCCGGUGUAGCGGUGAAAUGCGUAGAGAUCGGGAGGAACAUCAGUGGCGAAGGCGGCCAUCUGGGACAACACUGACGCUGAGGCACGAAAGCGUGGGGAGCAAACAGGAUUAGAGACCCCCGUAGUCCCUGUCUCUUAUAC